GACGAACGCUGGCGGCGUGCUUAACACAUGCAAGUCGAACGGAAAGGCCCUGCUUUUGUGGGGUGCUCGAGUGGCGAACGGGUGAGUAACACGUGAGUAACCUUCCCUUGACUUUGUGAUAACUUCAGGAAACUGGUGCUAAUACCGGAUAGGAGCUCCUGCUGCAUGGUGGGGGUUGGAAAGUUUCGGCGGUUGGGGAUGGACUCGCGGGUUAUCAGCUUGUUGGUGGGGUAGUGGCUUACCAAGGCUUUGACGGGUAGCCGGCCUGAGAGGGUGACCGGCCACAUUGGGACUGAGAUACGGACCAGACUCCUACGGGAGGCAGCAGUGGGGAAUAUUGCACAAUGGGCGGAAGCCUGAUGAAGCAACGCCGCGUGCGGGAUGACGGCCUUCGGGUUGUAAACCGCUUUCGCCUGUGACGAAGCGUGAGUGACGGUAAUGGGUAAAGAAGCACCGGCUAACUACGUG
rnacentral:rRNA from 1 species